CCUACGGGUGGCAGCAGUCGAGAAUUAUUCACAAUGGGGGAAACCCUGAUGGUGCGACGCCGCGUGGGGGAAUGAAGGUCUUCGGAUUGUAAACCCCUGUCAUGUGGGAGCAAAUUAAAAAGAUCGUACCACAAGAGGAAGAGACGGCUAACUCUGUGCCAGCAGCCGCGGUAAUACAGAGGUCUCAAGCGUUGUUCGGAAUCACUGGGCGUAAAGGGUGCGUAGGCUGUUUCGUAAGUCGGGUGUGAAAGGCGCGGGCUCAACCCGCGGACGGCACAUGAUACUGCGAGACUAGAGUAAUGGAGGGGGAACCGGAAUUCUCGGUGUAGCCGUGAAAUGCGUAGAUAUCGGGAGGAACACUCGUGGCGAAGGCGGGUUCCUGGACAUUAACUGACGCUGAGGCACGAAGGCCAGGGGAGCGAAAGGGAUUAGAUACCCGGGUAGUC
rnacentral:rRNA from 1 species